rnacentral:lncRNA from 10 species
CAAAAUUCCAAUUAAUGUAGAAGGAAUGAGUAAAAUACAAAAUCCCCACUUGAACACCACAUUAGUAACCGUUGACAAGAUCCACCAAGGAAUGCGAAAAUCAGCAGCCAAAAGUUUGAGAAGAAACAGGAUGCUAUCAUAGUCUCAAAGCAUCUCUAAGAUGUUUAUCAUUUGCAAAGGGAGAAAAGAAACUUUACAAUAAAGAAACCGGGGAGAUGCCACCUUAACCAAAUGAUCGCAGGUCAGUCUGUCAAGCAGUACCCUGUCACUGGUGGCUAAGAAGAUGAAGAUAACUACCCAUGGGAUUCCAUGAACAGAGCAGUCAUCUCUACUGACCUCAGCCACAAAACACCAGCCUUUCUAGCUUCCCUGGAUCCUUUGCUAACUGUGUUUUUUUCUGGGAUAGUAUGUGGUUCUCUAUUUGGCUUGAGAACAGAACACUCCUUCAAAUGGUUGAAGUAUCUUCAUUAUAUACAUGGUCUGCGCUUUAUCAUACUAAUUUUUUUUUCGAGGCAAGUUCUCACUCUGUCGUCCAGGCUGGAGUGCAGUGGCAUGAUCACAGAUCACUGCAGCCUUGAACUCAUGGGCUCAAGUGAUCCUCC